rnacentral:tRNA from 1 species
GCCCUCGUAGCUCAGGGGACCAGAGCGCCGCCGUCCUAAGGCGGGCGUCGCAGGUUCGAGUCCUGCCGAGGGCA